rnacentral:rRNA from 1 species
GUGAGGAAUUUUCCGCAAUGGGCGAAAGCCUGACGGAGCAAUGCCGCGUGAAGGAUGAAGGCCUAUGGGUUGUAAACUUCUUUUCUCAGAAAAGAAUUAUGACGGUAUCUGAGGAAUAAGCAUCGGCUAACUCUGUGCCAGCAGCCGCGGUAAGACAGAGGAUACAAGCGUUAUCCGGAAUGAUUGGGCGUAAAGCGUCUGUAGGUUGUUUAAAAAGUAUUCUGUCAAAGAUUAGGGCUUAACCCUAGAUAGGCAGAAUAAACUUUUAAGCUAGAGUUUGGUAGAGGCAGAGGGAAUGCCCGGUGGAGCGGUGAAAUGCGUAGAUAGCGGGAGGAACACCAAAGGCGAAGGCACUCUGCUGGGCCAAUACUAACACUGAGAGACGAAAGCGAGGGGAGCAAAUGGGAUUAGAAACCCGUGUAGUCC